UAUCAAGAAGAAAAUCCUUAGUGUGAAAUA
rnacentral:piRNA from 1 species